CUACGGGAUGCUCCAGUGGGGAAUAUUGCACAAUGGGGGAAACCCUGAUGCAGCAACGCCGUGUGAAGGAAGAAGGCUCUUGGGUUGUAAACUUCUUUGAAUGGGGACGAAACAAAUGACGGUACCCAUAAAACAAGCCACGGCUAACUACGUGCCAGCAGCCGCGGUAAUACGUAGGUGGCAAGCGUUAUCCGGAAUUACUGGGUGUAAAGGGCGUGUAGGCGGGAGAGCAAGUCAGAUGUGAAAUGCCAAGGCUUAACCAUGGAACUGCAUCUGAAACUGUUUUUCUUGAGUACUGGAGAGGAAAGUGGAAUUCCUAGUGUAGCGGUGAAAUGCGUAGAGAUUAGGAGGAACACCAGUGGCGAAGGCGGCUUUCUGGACAGUAACUGACGCUGAGGCGCGAAAGCGUGGGGAGCAAACAGGAUUAGAUACCCCCGUAGUC
rnacentral:rRNA from 1 species